rnacentral:sRNA from 12 species
CCCACCAAGCCUCUCAACGAUGCUUAAAUCGGUGGGU